AACGAACGCUGGCGGCAUGCCUAACACAUGCAAGUCGAACGAGACCUUCGGGUCUAGUGGCGCACGGGUGCGUAACGCGUGGGAACCUGCCCUUAGGUUCGGAAUAACUCCCCGAAAGGGGUGCUAAUACCGGAUAAUGUCUUCGGACCAAAGAUUUAUCGCCUUUGGAUGGGCCCGCGUUGGAUUAGCUAGUUGGUAGGGUAAAAGCCUACCAAGGCGACGAUCCAUAGCUGGUCAGAGAGGAUGAUCAGCCACACUGGGACUGAGACACGGCCCAGACUCCUACGGGAGGCAGCAGUGGGGGAUAUUGGACAAUGGGCGAAAUCCUGAACCAGCAAUGCCGCGUGAGUGAUGAAGGCCGUAGGGUAAUAAAGCUCUUUUACCCGGGAUGAUAAUGACAGUACCGAGAGAAUAAGCUCCGGCUAACUCCGUG
rnacentral:rRNA from 1 species